rnacentral:rRNA from 1 species
GCGGGGGUGCUUAACCAUGCAGUCGAACGAUGAAGCCCAGCUUGCUGGGUGGAUUAGUGGCGAACGGGUGAGUAACACGUGAGCAACCUGCCCCUGACUCUGGGAUAAGCGCUGGAAACGGCGUCUAAUACUGGAUAUGUCCCGUCACCGCAUGGUGUGCGGGUGGAAAGAUUUUUCGGUUGGGGAUGGGCUCGCGGCCUAUCAGCUUGUUGGUGAGGUAAUGGCUCACCAAGGCGUCGACGGGUAGCCGGCCUGAGAGGGUGACCGGCCACACUGGGACUGAGACACGGCCCAGACUCCUACGGGAGGCAGCAGUGGGGAAUAUUGCACAAUGGGCGGAAGCCUGAUGCAGCAACGCCGCGUGAGGGAUGACGGCCUUCGGGUUGUAAACCUCUUUUAGCAGGGAAGAAGCGAAAGUGACGGUACCUGCAGAAAAAGCACCGGCUAACUACGUGCCAGCAGCCGCGGUAAUACGUAGGGUGCAAGCGUUAUCCGGAAUUAUUGGGCGUAAAGAGCUCGUAGGCGGUCUGUCGCGUCUGCUGUGAAAUCCCGAGGCUCAACCUCGGGCUUGCAGUGGGUACGGGCAGACUAGAGUGCGGUAGGGGAGAUUGGAAUUCCUGGUGUAGCGGUGGAAUGCGCAGAUAUCAGGAGGAACACCGAUGGCGAAGGCAGAUCUCUGGGCCGUAACUGACGCUGAGGAGCGAAAGGGUGGGGAGCAAACAGGCUUAGAUACCCUGGUAGUCCACCCCGUAAACGUUGGGAACUAGUUGUGGGGUCCUUUCCACGGAUUCCGUGACGCAGCUAACGCAUUAAGUUCCCCGCCUGGGGAGUACGGCCGCAAGGCUAAAACUCAAAGGAAUUGACGGGGACCCGCACAAGCGGCGGAGCAUGCGGAUUAAUUCGAUGCAACGCGAAGAACCUUACCACGCUUGACAUACACGAGAACGGGCUACAAAUGGUCAACUCUUUGGACACUCGUGACAGUGGUGCGU